rnacentral:rRNA from 1 species
GUGCACCAGUCGCGAAACCUCCGCAAUACACGAAAGUGUGACGGGGCCAUCCCGAGUGCCGUCCGGCUGAGGACGGCUUUUCCCCCAGUGUACAUAGCUGGGGGAAUAAGGAGAGGGCAAGCCUGGUGUCAGCCGCCGCGGUAAUACCAGCUCUCCGAGUGGUGGGGACGCUUAUUGGGCCUAAAGGCAUCCGUAGCCGGCUGGGGCAAGUCCUCCGUUAAAUCCAACGAUUC